rnacentral:rRNA from 1 species
UACGGAGGGGACUAGCGUUGUUCGGAAUUACUGGGCGUAAAGCGCACGUAGGCGGAUUUGCAAGUCAGGGGGGAAAUCCCGGGGCUCAACCUCGGAACUGCCUUUGAUACUGCAAAUCUCGAGUCCGGAAGAGGUGAGUGGGAUUCCUAGUGUAGAGGUGAAAUUCGUAGAUAUUAGGAAGAACACCAGUGGCGAAGGCGGCUCACUGGUCCGGUACUGACGCUGAGGUGCGAAAGCGUGGGGAGCAAACAGG